rnacentral:tRNA from 1 species
AGCUCUGUAGUAUAAAAAUAAUAUUAAAUUGCAAGUUUAAAGAUGUGGUAAAGCACUAGGGCUU